rnacentral:rRNA from 1 species
AUUGAACGCUGGCGGCAGGCCUAACACAUGCAAGUCGAGCGGAUGAAGGGAGCUUGCUCCUGGAUUCAGCGGCGGACGGGUGAGUAAUGCCUAGGAAUCUGCCUGGUAGUGGGGGAUAACGUCCGGAAACGGGCGCUAAUACCGCAUACGUCCUGAGGGAGAAAGUGGGGGAUCUUCGGACCUCACGCUAUCAGAUGAGCCUAGGUCGGAUUAGCUAGUUGGUGGGGUAAAGGCCUACCAAGGCGACGAUCCGUAACUGGUCUGAGAGGAUGAUCAGUCACACUGGAACUGAGACACGGUCCAGACUCCUACGGGCGGCAGCAGUGGGGAAUAUUGGACGAUGGGCGAAAGCCUGAUCCAGCCAUGCCGCGUGUGUGAAGAAGGUCUUCGGAUUGUAAAGCACUUUAAGUUGGGAGGAAGGGCAGUAAGUUAAUACCUUGCUGUUUUGACGUUACCAACAGAAUAAGCACCGGCUAACUUCGUG